CCCUUGAGGCGUGGCUUCCGGAGCUAACGCGUUAAAUCGACCGCCUGGGGAGUACGGCCGCAAGGUUAAAACUCAAAUGAAUUGACGGGGGCCCGCACAAGCGGUGGAGCAUGUGGUUUAAUUCGAUGCAACGCGAAGAACCUUACCUACUCUUGACAUCCAGAGAAUUCGCUAGAGAUAGCUUAGUGCCUUCGGGAACUCUGAGACAGGUGCUGCAUGGCUGUCGUCAGCUCGUGUUGUGAAAUGUUGGGUUAAGUCCCGCAACGAGCGCAACCCUUAUCCUUUGUUGCCAGCGAUUCGGUCGGGAACUCAAAGGAGACUGCCGGUGAUAAACCGGAGGAAGGUGGGGAUGACGUCAAGUCAUCAUGGCCCUUACGAGUAGGGCUACACACGUGCUACAAUGGCGUAUACAAAGAGAAGCGAACUCGCGAGAGCAAGCGGACCUCAUAAAGUACGUCGUAGUCCGGAUUGGAGUCUGCAACUCGACUCCAUGAAGUCGGAAUCGCUAGUAAUCGUAGAUCAGAAUGCUACGGUGAAUACGUUCCCGGGCCUUGUACACA
rnacentral:rRNA from 1 species